UGGGGAGCAAACAGGAUUAGAUACCCUGGUAGUCCACGCCGUAAACGAUGUCUACUUGGAGGUUGUGCCCUUGAGGCGUGGCUUCCGGAGCUAACGCGUUAAGUAGACCGCCUGGGGAGUACGGCCGCAAGGUUAAAACUCAAAUGAAUUGACGGGGGCCCGCACAAGCGGUGGAGCAUGUGGUUUAAUUCGAUGCAACGCGAAGAACCUUACCUGGUCUUGACAUCCACAGAACUUUCCAGAGAUGGAYUGGUGCCUUCGGGAACUGUGAGACAGGUGCUGCAUGGCUGUCGUCAGCUCGUGUUGUGAAAUGUUGGGUUAAGUCCCGCAACGAGCGCAACCCUUAUCCUUUGUUGCCAGCGAUUAGGUCGGGAACUCAAAGGAGACUGCCAGUGAUAAACUGGAGGAAGGUGGGGAUGACGUCAAGUCAUCAUGGCCCUUACGACCAGGGCUACACACGUGCUACAAUGGCGCAUACAAAGAGAAGCGACCUCGCGAGAGCAAGCGGACCUCAUA
rnacentral:rRNA from 1 species